GCGGAUUAAUUUCAGCAUGUAACAUCAAAGGGAUUGGAGCUAAACCUAUUAAUUCCAAAAGUGAGGUUAUUCUACAAAGGGAAUUAUCACAAAAAGUUAUCGAAAUAUUAACAGACAAAGUUGAAAAGCUUUAAGAUGGAAAUAGUAAAAGCUUACCUUUAUUAAUAGACAAUUAUCUUUCUGAUAUGAUUGGGUUACCAAUUUAUAUUCCAUGAUUAGCUUCUGCAGUAAAUUGGGGGCUUAAAAAUCGACGAAAUUAACGUUAAAUGCGAAAAUGUAUGGCAACAUUGCUUGUGACGUCACAUUAAAAUUUUAAAGUGAUUUUUCGGGCCAUUUCGAAUCGAUUUAAAAAAAAGCGUCGAUUUUUAAGCGACAUGAUGAUUCUUAUUUAUUUGGCAAGUUGUGAUUCUUGGGUGAAAUAAGAAAAAAGUUAAAUUAAAAAUUUUUUAUUAACAUAACCUCAAAUUUUUCAUCAUAACAAUAAAUAGGUAAGAAUAAUUAACUCUUCGUUCGAUUUUCCUUUAGUUUUAGGUACAAACCUACAAAUAAAUAGCGCGCCCAAGAAGGUAAAUCCCGCAUAAAUAAAAAACGCACCUUCUGUGACAAAUCCUUCUUUGAUUGACAAAAAACUUUUUGUUGUAGCAAACGCUAAUAACCAACCCCAAUAAUUAUUAAAUGAAGUAACUAAGGUUUAGUUUAUUGAGGAUUAAUUUAGGCAUUUAAUAUCAAAGGAAUUUGAGUUAAACCUUUUAAUUCCAAAAGUGAGGUUAAGGCAUAAUUUUUUUGACAGUUUGUUGUUGACAACUUUGACAACUCACGGUCAUUAUGACCAAUUUAAAACUGAUCUAAUCAAUUAACAUAAUCUCAAAUUUUUCAUCAAAUCAAUAAAUACAUACAUAGGUACAAAUAAUUAACGAUUAAUGAAACUCGCUUGAAUCUCUUCGUUCGAUUUUCCUUUUCAGACGCACGGCUAAACCCGAACAUUUCUAGUUCUAGUGUUAGUUCUAGUUUUAUACUAGCACUAU